GACGAACGCUGGCGGCGUGCUUAACACAUGCAAGUCGAACGGAAAGGCCCUGCUUGCAGGGUGCUCGAGUGGCGAACGGGUGAGUAACACGUGGGUGAUCUGCCCCUUACUUUGGGAUAAGCCUGGGAAACUGGGUCUAAUACUGGAUAGGACCAUGCUGUAGGUGGUGUGGUGGAAAGAUUAGUUUCGGUAAGGGAUGAGCUCGCGGCCUAUCAGCUUGUUGGUGGGGUAAUGGCCUACCAAGGCGUCGACGGGUAGCCGGCCUGGGAGGGUGGACGGCCACAUUGGGACUGAGAUACGGCCCAGACUCCUACGGGAGGCAGCAGUGGGGAAUAUUGCACAAUGGGCGCAAGCCUGAUGCAGCGACGCCGCGUGGGGGAUGACGGCCUUCGGGUUGUAAACUCCUUUCAGCCAUGACGAAGCCCUUGUGGUGACGGUAGUGGUAGAAGAAGCACCGGCUAACUACGU
rnacentral:rRNA from 1 species